rnacentral:rRNA from 1 species
GACGAACGCUGGCGGCGUGCUUAACACAUGCAAGUCGAACGGAAAGGCCCUGCUUGCCGGGUACUCGAGUGGCGAACGGGUGAGUAACACGUGGGUGAUCCGCCCUGCACUUCGGGAUAAGCCUGGGAAACUGGGUCUAAUACCGGAUAGGAGCCAUUUUUAGUGUGAUGGUUGGAAAGUUUUUUCGGUGUAGGAUGAGCUCGCGGCCUAUCAGCUUGUUGGUGGGGUAAUGGCCUACCAAGGCGGCGACGGGUAGCCGGCCUGAGAGGGUGGACGGCCACAUUGGGACUGAGAUACGGCCCAGACUCCUACGGGAGGCAGCAGUGGGGAAUAUUGCACAAUGGGCGCAAGCCUGAUGCAGCGACGCCGCGUGGGGGAUGACGGCCUUCGGGUUGUAAACUCCUUUCGCUAGGGACGAAGCUUUUUGUGACGGUACCUAGAUAAGAAGCACCGGCUAACUACGUG